UACAGAGGGUGCGAGCGUUAAUCGGAAUUACUGGGCGUAAAGCGUGCGUAGACGGUUAUCUAAGUCGGAUGUGAAAUCCCCGGGCUCAACCUGGGAAUUGCAUUCGAUACUGGAUAGCUAGAGUUCGGCAGAGGGAAGCGGAAUUUCUGGUGUAGCGGUGAAAUGCGUAGAUAUCAGAAGGAACAUCAGUGGCGAAAGCGGCUUCCUGGACCAGAACUGACGAUCAGGCACGAAAGCGUGGGGAGCAAACAGG
rnacentral:rRNA from 1 species